AACGCUGUGGCGCAACGGUAGCGCGUCUGACUCCAGAUUAGAGUGUUGUGUGUUCAAAUCGUCAGUUUAG